CAUUAAGAAGCUAUGCAACAGCACUAGCCUUUUAAGCUAGCCAAAGAGGGGGACCCCCUCCUUAAUGA
rnacentral:tRNA from 4 species